CCCUUUCGGGGCUCUUUGGUGAUUCAUAAUAACUUCUCGAAUCGCAUGGCCUUGUGCCGGCGAUGGUUCAUUCAAAUUUCUGCCCUAUCAACUUUCGAUGGCAGGGUCUUGGCCUGCCAUGGUUACAACGGGUAACGGAGGGUUAGGGCUCGACCCCGGAGAAGGAGCCUGAGAAACGGCUACUACAUCCAAGGAAGGCAGCAGGCGCGCAAAUUACCCAAUCCCGAUUCGGGGAGGUAGUGACAAUAAAUACUGAUACAGGGCUCUUUCGGGUCUUGUAAUUGGAAUGAGUACAAUUUAAAUCCCUUAACGAGGAACAAUUGGAGGGCAAGUCUGGUGCCAGCAGCCGCGGUAAUUCCAGCUCCAAUAGCGUAUAUUAAAGUUGUUGCAGUUAAAAAGCUCGUAGUUGAACCUUGGGCCUGGCUGGCCGGUCCGCCUCACCGCGUGCACUGGUUCGGCCGGGCCUUUCCCUCUGGGGAUCCCUAUACCCUUCACUGGGCGUAGCGGGGAACCAGGACUUUUACUGUGAAAAAAUUAGAGUGUUCAAAGCAGGCCUAUGCUCGAAUACAUUAGCAUGGAAUAAUAAAAUAGGACGUGCGGUUCUAUUUUGUUGGUUUCUAGGACCGCCGUAAUGAUUAAUAGGGACAGUCGGGGGCAUCAGUAUUCAAUUGUCAGAGGUGAAAUUCUUGGAUUUAUUGAAGACUAACUACUGCGAAAGCAUUUGCCAAGGAUGUUUUCAUUAAUCAGGAACGAAAGUUAGGGGAUCGAAGACGAUCAGAUACCGUCGUAGUCUUAACCAUAAACUAUGCCGACUAGGGAUCGGGCGAUGUUAUUUUUUGACUCGCUCGGCACCUUACGAGAAAUCAAAG
rnacentral:rRNA from 2 species